AUUGAACGCUGGCGGCAGGCCUAACACAUGCAAGUCGAACGAAAGGCGGACGGGUGAGUAAUGUCUGGGCAAAUGCGUGGUGGAGGGGGAUGCCAACGGGAAACGGUAGCCGAUAACGCCUACCAUCAGCUGUGCCCAGAUGGGAUGAGCUUGUUGGUGGGGUAACGGCUCACCAAGGCGACGAUCCCUAGCUGGUUUAAGAGGAUGACCAGCCACACUGGAACUGAGACACGGGCCAGACUCCUACGGGAGGCAGCAGUGGGGAAUAUUGCACAAGGGGGGCAAGCCUGAUGCAGCCAUGCCGCGUGUAUGAAGAAGGCCUUCGGGUUGUAAAGUACUUUCGGCGGGGAGGCGUUACCCGCAGAAUAAGCACCGGCUAACUCCGUGCCAGCCGCCGCGGUAAUAC
rnacentral:rRNA from 1 species